rnacentral:rRNA from 1 species
GCUUACGGUCACACUACUGGUUAGUGCUUGGAUGGAAGACCACCUGAGAAUACCAGAUACUGCAAGCU